UACGUAGGGUGCGAGCGUUAAUCGGAAUUACUGGGCGUAAAGGGCUCGUAGGCGGCCAACUAAGUCAUACGUGAAAUCCCUCAGCUUAACUGGGGAACUGCGUGUGAUACUGGAUGGCUUGGAUUUGGGAGAGGGAUGCGGAAUUCCAGGUGUAGCGGUGAAAUGCGUAGAUAUGUGGAGGAACACCGAUGGCGAAGGCAGCCCCCUGGGAUGUGACUGACGCUCAUGUACGAAAGCGUGGGGAGCAAACAGG
rnacentral:rRNA from 1 species